rnacentral:rRNA from 1 species
AAAGCACUUUUGGCAGGGAAGAAAAGGUUCUGGCUAAUACCCGGAACUGCUGACGGUACCUGCAGAAUAAGCACCGGCUAACUACGUGCCAGCAGCCGCGGUAAUACGUAGGGUGCAAGCGUUAAUCGGAAUUACUGGGCGUAAAGCGUGCGCAGGCGGUUUGGCAAGAAGGAUGUGAAAUCCCGGGGCUUAACCUCGGAACUGCAUUCUUAACUGCCAGGCUGGAGUAUGUCAGAGGGGGGUAGAAUUCCACGUGUAGCAGUGAAAUGCGUAGAGAUGUGGAGGAAUACCGAUGGCGAAGGCAGCCCCCUGGGAUAAUACUGACGCUCAUGCACGAAAGCGUGGGGAGCAAACAGGAUUAGAUACCCUGGUAGUCCACGCCCUAAACGAUGUCAACUAGCUGUUGGGGCCUUCGGGCCUUAGUAGCGCAGCUAACGCGUGAAGUUGACCGCCUGGGGAGUACGGUCGCAAGAUUAAAACUCAAAGGAAUUGACGGGGACCCGCACAAGCGGUGGAUGAUGUGGAUUAAUUCGAUGCAACGCGAAAAACCUUACCUACCCUUGACAUGUCUGGAAUCCCGAAGAGAUUUGGGAGUGCUCGCAAGAGAACCGGAACACAGG